ACACGUGGGUAACCUACCUUAUAGUGGGGGAUAGCCUUUCGAAAGGAAGAUUAAUACCGCAUAAGAUUGUAGUAUCGCAUGAUAUAGCAAUUAAAGGAGCAAUUCGCUAUAAGAUGGACCCGCGUCGCAUUAGCUAGUUGGUGAGGUAAUGGCUCACCAAGGCGACGAUGCGUAGCCGACCUGAGAGGGUGAUCGGCCACAUUGGGACUGAGACACGGCCCAGACUCCUACGGGAGGCAGCAUG
rnacentral:rRNA from 1 species